rnacentral:rRNA from 1 species
UACGUAGGGUGCAAGCGUUAAUCGGAAUUACUGGGCGUAAAGCGUGCGCAGGCGGUGAUGUAAGACAGAUGUGAAAUCCCCAGGCUCAACUUGGGAACUGCAUCCGAUACUGGAUGGCUUGAAUUCGGGAGAGGGAUGCAGAAUUCCAGGUGUAGCGGUGAAAUGCGUAGAUAUCUGGAGGAAUACCGGUGGCGAAGGCGGCAUCCUGGACCGACAUUGACGCUGAGGAGCGAAAGCUAGGGGAGCAAACGGG